rnacentral:rRNA from 1 species
GACGAACGCUGGCGGCGUGCCUAAUACAUGCAAGUUGAGCGAUGAAGAUUGGUGCUUGCACCAAUUUGAAGAGCAGCGAACGGGUGAGUAACGCGUGGGGAAUCUGCCUUUGAGCGGGGGACAACAUUUGGAAACGAAUGCUAAUACCGCAUAACAACUUUAAACAUAAGUUUUAAGUUUGAAAGAUGCAAUUGCAUCACUCAAAGAUGAUCCCGCGUUGUAUUAGCUAGUUGGUGAGGUAAAGGCUCACCAAGGCGAUGAUACAUAGCCGACCUGAGAGGGUGAUCGGCCACAUUGGGACUGAGACACGGCCCAAACUCCUACGGGAGGCAGCAGUAGGGAAUCUUCGGCAAUGGACGAAAGUCUGACCGAGCAACGCCGCGUGAGUGAAGAAGGGUUUCGGAUCGUAAAACUCUGUUGGUAGAGAAGAACGUCGGUGAGAGUGGAAAGCUCAUCAAGUGACGGUAACUACCCAGAAAGGGACGGCUAACUACGUG